CGCGGGGUAGUGGAGCGGUACCACGCGGGGCUCAUAACCCCGAGGCCGGACGUUCGAUUCGUCCCCCCGCAA
rnacentral:tRNA from 1 species